UACAGAGGUGCCAAGCGUUAGGCGGAAUCACUGGGCUUAAAGCGCGCGUAGGCGGAUGUUUAAGUGUCUUGUGAAAUCCCACGGCUCAACCGUGGAACUGCUGGGCAUACUGGACAUCUCGAGGCACUCAGGGGCGAGCGGAACAAGUGGUGGAGCGGUGAAAUGCGUAGAUAUCACUUGGAACGCCAAUGGUGAAGACAACUCGCUGGGGGUGUCCUGACGCUGAGGCGCGAAAGCCAGGGGAGCGAACGGG
rnacentral:rRNA from 1 species